rnacentral:rRNA from 1 species
AGAGUUUGAUCCUGGCUCAGGAUGAACGCUAGCGACAGGCUUAACACAUGCAAGUCGAGGGGCAUCAUGAGGUAGCAAUACCUUGAUGGCGACCGGCGCACGGGUGAGUAACGCGUAUGCAACCUGCCCGAUACCGGGGUAUAGCCCAUGGAAACGUGGAUUAACACCCCAUAGUACUUUUAUCCUGCAUGGGAUGUGAGUUAAAUGUUCAAGGUAUCGGAUGGGCAUGCGUCCUAUUAGUUAGUUGGCGGGGUAACAGCCCACCAAGACGAUGAUAGGUAGGGGUUCUGAGAGGAAGGUCCCCCACAUUGGAACUGAGACACGGUCCAAACUCCUACGGGAGGCAGCAGUGAGGAAUAUUGGUCAAUGGACGAGAGUCUGAACCAGCCAAGUCGCGUGAGGGAAGACUGCCCUAUGGGUUGUAAACCUCUUUUAUAAGGGAAGAAUAAGUUCUACGUGUAGAAUGAUGCCUGUACCUUAUGAAUAAGCAUCGGCUAACUCCGUGCCAGCAGCCGCGGUAAUACGGAGGAUGCGAGCGUUAUCCGGAUUUAUUGGGUUUAAAGGGUGCGUAGGCGGUUUAUUAAGUUAGUGGUUAAAUAUUUGAGCUAAACUCAAUUGUGCCAUUAAUACUGGUAAACUGGAGUACAGACGAGGUAGGCGGAAUAAGUUAAGUAGCGGUGAAAUGCAUAGAUAUAACUUAGAACUCCGAUAGCGAAGGCAGCUUACCAGACUGUAACUGACGCUGAUGCACGAGAGCGUGGGUAGCGAACAGGAUUAGAUACCCUGGUAGUCCACGCCGUAAACGAUGCUCACUGGAUCUUGGCGAUACACUGCCAGGGUUCAAGCGAAAGUAUUAAGUGAGCCACCUGGGGAGUACGUCGGCAACGAUGAAACUCAAAGGAAUUGACGGGGGCCCGCACAAGCGGAGGAACAUGUG